CGGCCGAAGACGGGACUCGGAGCAGUGCUGAUCCUCUUCCCUGCUAAAGAUCAAGUGGUGGAGCAACAUGAUAAGAAGAUUAAGACGAAAAUCUGCAGAUUUGCUGUUGGUUCCUGUAUCUAGUGUUGCCAGCUAAUGUCUUGAGAAAUCCAUUUAACCCAUAACUCUCAAGAGACAUCACUUUUGAGAUCAGCCUACCUCAAAGAAGAGCCUACAGGGGAAUCAUCAGCCAUGGCAUUGUUUAGUUUGUAAGCUCAAUGGGAGGCAGGGACCAUGUCAUCUUCUCUGAAUUGUACAGAGUACUGCUGGUACUGAACAAAUAAUAAAUAAAAAUAGUUACA